AAAGGGAGACCUAAUUCAGGUAGGGGACGAAAAAAAAGUAGUCGCUACCAAGAAUCAAUCCCAAAAGGUCGGAGCGAGGCGAAAUUGGCUUUCAAACUAGGUUCUGGGUUCAAACAAGACCUGAAUCAGGAACAAGGGCUAUUAGCUCAGGUGGUUAGAGCGCACCCCUGAUAAGGGUGAGGUCCCUGGUUCGAGUCCAGGAUGGCCCACCUGUACAGGUGGCAAAAACAAAGAAAAGAAGCUCCGAAUCAGCACCUUAUCUUAUUUAUAUAGUAAGAGAGAAUGCUGGCUCUGAGUAAAGAGUCCAGAGGAACCUUGAAAACUGCAUAGAGCUAGGUGAAAAAGCCAAAAAAGAAGACCGCAAG
rnacentral:tRNA from 1 species